CUUAUAUUGCAUUAGGUAUUAUAUGUAAACUGGAUGACUUAAAGUAAGGAGAAGGUAUAGGGUGGACACGCAGGGGCUACAUGAAGACACUUUGCCACUUUAUGUAAGGAUUUGAACACCCAUGAAUUUUUCUAUCCAAGGUAAGUUCUGGAAUUAAUGCCCCAUCUCUUACAGAGAGACUGUAUUUGUUUUGUUUGGGUCUGUUUUUAAAAAAUAAUAAUAAAUAAAUAAAUCCAUUGUUUAGGAAAAAAUGAAAUUAGCAAUUGAUAUACUGAACCACAUAAAAUCGGAAUGGAAGCUAAGCCAUAAAUAAUCUGACGUCUAAUUAAGGCAAGUGAAAUGGAACCCAGUUUCUUAAGUGAUCAUCUUUCAAAAUGGAACCCAGUUUCUUAAGUGAUCAUCUUUCAAAAUUCUAGACAUUCAUAGGUAAUGACAAGUUCCCACAGCCUUUAUCUGAAGUGUUUAUUGCACAUACGUUGCUUCCCUGCUGCAGAGAGAAAUGUCAGCACAAGGAGAUUAAAGCAUAAAGAAAAUGCCCAAAUUCCUAACUCCAGUGAUUUUAACAACGAAAGCAAGAGACAAAAUAAGAACCAACCAAUUGGUAUUAAUAAAACACAAAGAGUGAGAAUCUAAGUAGAGAAGCAGCUGAAGAUAAAAACCAUUCUCAGUUUCAACUGACUACUGACUAAUCUAGGGUCCCCCAAAACUUUUCUUGUCAGAGAUUUGGUAAAAUCCACAGAUUACAGGAAAGAAAUCCUAUGCAAACUCUCCGUCUCAUCCUACACAAAGAAAACUGAGACCCCGAGAAAGGGUUUGCAUUACUGGCCAAGGUCCCAGCCUAUGAGGAGCAAAACCCAGAUUAGAGUUAAGAGUUCACUUUGUGAGCUUUGCUUAGAAGGAUGAAUUCAAAGCUGGAGACUUUUUUUCCUCCUGAUAAUAAACAUCUAUGUGUGUAUAUGUGUGUGUGUGUGUGUGUGUGUGUGUGAGAGAGAGAGAGAGAGAGAGAGAUACCUAGAAAAAGCAAAAAGAAUGUAGAGAAGCUAUGAAACUUUCAACUAUAAUUAUAUCAACCUGUCAAGGUAAUCAUACUAGGCAUUUUUGUUAGAUUUCCCUCCAGGUUUGUUUGUUUGUUUGUUUGUUUCUCUCCCAAUGAAUAUUUUACCUAAAUGAUUUCAGAUUACAUAUACCAUUUCAUAUUCAGCCUCGUAACUUAGCAUUAUAUCAUGAGCAUCUUCCAACCUCAUUUAAAACACUUUGUCCACAUUGCUUUAAAAAGUGCAUAAUAUUUUCUGGUGACAUUUCCUGUUUGUUUUGCUUAGGGCUCUUUGAAAGUGGCAAUGCACAGGUCUUGGAGCUUUCCAUGGGAAUUAUCCACGUUGUUCAAGAAUUUUUCACAUCAAUGGCAAAUAGCAUUCACCGUGGAUGGGAAACCGGGAGGGGUGAGGCAGUGAGCAAUUGCUUAGUGGAAAGCUGCUACAAUGCCCAGCGACCUUGUUUAGGAAAACAGUCCUGCCUGAGGAAUGCCGGCGUUUCUUUGUAGGGUCUCCCCAGCAAUCCUUCGGUUGCUCUCAGCCAUAGGGCCACUGAAGACGGGAGAGAGUUUCUUCCUGAAACUUUCAUACAGUUCUCUACAAAGAGAACUGGGCUACUCCUGGUUUCUUCAACCAGUGAAUACGUUGCUAACCUCGAAAGAAAAAAGCUUCCCUUUAGCAAGAAUUCAAGUCCAGAAAAAGUAGUACAAAUCAAGAGGAGAGACCAAAGGACUGUCCUUGACAGUCAUAUCCAAAUGCAUUCGAUCUGUGAUUGCCAUCUGAAACAUUUAAGCUUCGCCAUCACAAGACAGAAACAUUUCAAAUAUAGGAAGAAGUUAUGGCUCUGUUCCACGGCAGUUUCAACAAACCCAUGAAGCAGUUUUGUCUUGCAGAGGUGGGUGUGGAGAGGUACCAUCAUUCCCGUUAAACCUGUCUGGCAGCUCCUUGAGUUUUAACUGCUUAGCAGUUCUGCUUCAGAUGGACUUGAACAAAGCAUCUCCAAGUCCUUUCCCACCAAGGCACGCAGAGGAGACGUCAUCUGUCAUCUCUCAACAGCCUCUUACUGUGCUUUACUAAGUAGAGAGACGACAAUCUCAUGAUUUAAAAUAGGCAUUGCUAUCUCUUUAAAACAAAAAUUGAUAUUUGCAUCUAACAUAUCCCUAAUGUAGAAAAGGAGGCUUUUUCAACCUUCCUUUUUAACUACCGAGGAGCUUGUCUAACAAUAGAAGAACAUAAGAGGACUUAAAUUAACAUGAAAUAUUUCUUGAUUUCAGAAUUAUUACAAACAAAUGUUAAUAAAAUGUGUGUUUAUACAAAAGAAGGUAAAAUAUAAAGUGUUUUUAGAAGGAAAGUUUUAAGCCAUGUAUACAACAUGGUUAGAUUUUUUAAUAUUAAAAAUAUUUUAGGAAAGACUUACGAAGUGAUCUUCAGGCAUAAAAAUUAUUCACUUGAAGAUUGAUAUACAGAAUAUUUAUUUGUUCAAGUGCACAUUUAUAAUAGAUUUUUAAAAUAAAAAUAUGUGAAAAUUUUUUUAAAAGAGUGAAGCACAAAAUUUUCAAAUGUAAAAAAUAAAAUAAAAAUGUUCAGUCUUGUAAAAAAAUGGUAGUUUUCAUAGCUAGUUUCGAAAAUAAAGGUGAGAUUCCACAACAUCUGAGUUAUUAAUCUGGUAUUC
rnacentral:lncRNA from 1 species